rnacentral:rRNA from 1 species
AUUGAACGCUGGCGGCAUGCUUUACACAUGCAAGUCGAACGGCAGCGCGGGCUUCGGCCUGGCGGCGAGUGGCGAACGGGUGAGUAAUGCAUCGGAACGUGCCCAGUAGUGGGGGAUAGCCCGGCGAAAGCCGGAUUAAUACCGCAUACGACCUGAGGGUGAAAGCGGGGGACCGAAAGGCCUCGCGCUAUUGGAGCGGCCGAUGUCGGAUUAGCUCGUUGGUGGGGUAAAGGCUUACCAAGGCGACGAUCCGUAGCUGGUCUGAGAGGACGACCAGCCACACUGGGACUGAGACACGGCACAGACUCCUACGGGAGGCAACAGUGGGGAAUUUUGGACAAUGGGGGCAACCCUGAUCCAGCCAUGCCGCGUGCGGGAAGAAGGCCUGCGGGUUGUAAACCGCUUUUGUUCGGGAAGAAAUCCUCUGGGCUAAUACCCCGGGGGGAUGACGGUACCGGAAGAAUAAGCACCGGCUAACUACGUG